rnacentral:rRNA from 1 species
GAUGAACGCUGGCGGCGUGCCUAAUACAUGCAAGUCGAGCGAACAGACGAGGAGCUUGCUCCUCUGACGUUAGCGGCGGACGGGUGAGUAACACGUGGAUAACCUACCUAUAAGACUGGGAUAACUUCGGGAAACCGGAGCUAAUACCGGAUAAUAUAUUGAACCGCAUGGUUCAAUAGUGAAAGACGGUUUUGCUGUCACUUAUAGAUGGAUCCGCGCCGCAUUAGCUAGUUGGUAAGGUAACGGCUUACCAAGGCAACGAUGCGUAGCCGACCUGAGAGGGUGAUCGGCCACACUGGAACUGAGACACGGUCCAGACUCCUACGGGAGGCAGCAGUAGGGAAUCUUCCGCAAUGGGCGAAAGCCUGACGGAGCAACGCCGCGUGAGUGAUGAAGGUCUUCGGAUCGUAAAACUCUGUUAUUAGGGAAGAACAAAUGUGUAAGUAACUAUGCACGUCUUGACGGUACCUAACCAGAAAGCCACGGCUAACUGCGUG